UGGGGAAUAUUGCACAAUGGAGGAAACUCUGAUGCAGCGACGCCGCGUGAGCGAAGAAGGCCUUCGGGUCGUAAAGCUCUGUCCUAUGGGACGAUAAUGACGGUACCAUAGGAGGAAGCCCCGGCUAACUACGUGCCAGCAGCCGCGGUAAUACGUAGGGGGCGAGCGUUGUCCGGAAUGACUGGGCGUAAAGGGUACGUAGGCGGCCAGAUAAGUCAGAUGUGAAAGGCAUGGGCUUAACCCGUGUUAGCAUUUGAAACUGUGUGGCUUGAGUUAAGGAGAGGAAAGUGGAAUUCCUGGUGUAGCGGUGAAAUGCGUAGAUAUCAGGAGGAAUACCAGUGGCGAAGGCGACUUUCUGGACUUAAACUGACGCUGAGGUACGAAAGCGUGGGGAGCAAACAGG
rnacentral:rRNA from 1 species